UACGGCCAUAGCACGUUGAAAUACCGGUUCUCGUACGAUCACCGAACCAUUGGGGCUGAUCAGUACUUAGAUAGGUGACCGUUUGGUAAUACCAGAUGUUGUAA